rnacentral:rRNA from 1 species
CACGUAGGAGGCGAGCGUUGUCCGGAAUCAUUGGGCGUAAAGAGCGCGCAGGCGGCUUGGCAAGUCGGGUGUGAAAUCCCGGGGCUCAACCCCGUGACUGCAUCCGAUACUGUCAGGCUAGAGGUAGGUAGGGGAGAUCGGAAUUCCUGGUGUAGCGGUGAAAUGCGCAGAUAUCAGGAGGAACACCGAUGGCGAAGGCAGGUCUCUGGGCAUUAACUGACGCUGAGGAGCGAAAGCAUGGGGAGCGAACAGG